rnacentral:RNase_P_RNA from 1 species
GCGGAUGGCUGGAUGGCCGCGGGCGGCAACGCUCGAGGAAAGUCCGGACUCCACAAGGCAACGGUGCCGGGUAACGCCCGGCGGGGGCAACCCCAGGGAAAGCGCCACAGAGAUCAGACUACCGGCCUCUCGGGGUCGGAAAAGGUGAAACGGUGCGGUAAGAGCGCACCGCGGGACUGGUAACAGGACCGGCACGGCAAGCCCCACCGGGAGCAAUGCCGAAUAGGGGCCUCGCGCGGGCUGGUCGGGCAACCGAUACCGCCGCAGGGCAGUCUUGACCCAGAGGCCCGGGUUGGCAGCUACACCCCGUCGGUAACGGCGGGGGCAGAGGAAUGGUCAUCCAGGGGCGGGCAACCGCCCCGGACAGAAUCCGGCUUACAGGCCAUCCGCGCAU